rnacentral:rRNA from 1 species
GGGUUGUGAGGUUAAGCGACUAAGCGUACACGGUGGAUGCCCUGGCAGUCAGAGGCGAUGAAGGACGUGCUAAUCUGCGAUAAGCGUCGGUGAGGUGAUAUGAACCGUUAUAACCGGCGAUUUCCGAAUGGGGAAACCCAGUGUGUUUCGACACACUAUCAUUAACUGAAUCCAUAGGUUAAUGAGGCGAACCGGGGGAACUGAAACAUCUAAGUACCCCGAGGAAAAGAAAUCAACCGAGAUUCCCCCAGUAGCGGCGAGCGAACGGGGAGGAGCCCAGAGCCUGAAUCAGUGUGUGUGUUAGUGGAAGCGUCUGGAAAGGCGCGCGAUACAGGGUGACAGCCCCGUACACAAAAAUGCACAUAUUGUGAGCUCGAUGAGUAGGGCGGGACACGUGGUAUCCUGUCUGAAUAUGGGGGGACCAUCCUCCAAGGCUAAAUACUCCUGACUGACCGAUAGUGAACCAGUACCGUGAGGGAAAGGCGAAAAGAACCUCGGCGAGGGGAGUGAAAAAGAACCUGAAACCGUGUACGUACAAGCAGUGGGAGCCUCUUAAUGGGGUGACUGCGUACCUUUUGUAUAAUGGGUCAGCGACUUAUAUUCUGUAGCAAGGUUAACCGAAUAGGGGAGCCGAAGGGAAACCGAGUCUUAACUGGGCGUUAAGUUGCAGGGUAUAGACCCGAAACCCGGUGAUCUAGCCAUGGGCAGGUUGAAGGUUGGGUAACACUAACUGGAGGACCGAACCGACUAAUGUUGAAAAAUUAGCGGAUGACUUGUGGCUGGGGGUGAAAGGCCAAUCAAACCGGGAGAUAGCUGGUUCUCCCCGAAAGCUAUUUAGGUAGCGCCUCGUGAAUUCAUCUCCGGGGGUAGAGCACUGUUUCGGCAAGGGGGUCAUCCCGACUUACCAACCCGAUGCAAACUGCGAAUACCGGAGAAUGUUAUCACGGGAGACACACGGCGGGUGCUAACGUCUGUCGUGAAGAGGGAAACAACCCAGACCGCCAGCUAAGGUCCCAAAGUCAUGGUUAAGUGGGAAACGAUGUGGGAAGGCCCAGACAGCCAGGAUGUUGGCUUAGAAGCAGCCAUCAUUUAAAGAAAGCGUAAUAGCUCACUGGUCGAGUCGGCCUGCGCGGAAGAUGUAACGGGGCUAAACCAUGCACCGAAGCUGCGGCAGCGACACUAUGUGUUGUUGGGUAGGGGAGCGUUCUGUAAGCCUGUGAAGGUGGCCUGUGAGGGUUGCUGGAGGUAUCAGAAGUGCGAAUGCUGACAUAAGUAACGAUAAAGCGGGUGAAAAGCCCGCUCGCCGGAAGACCAAGGGUUCCUGUCCAACGUUAAUCGGGGCAGGGUGAGUCGACCCCUAAGGCGAGGCCGAAAGGCGUAGUCGAUGGGAAACAGGUUAAUAUUCCUGUACUUGGUGUUACUGCGAAGGGGGACGGAGAAGGCUAUGUUGGCCGGGCGACGGUUGUCCCGGUUUAAGCGUGUAGGCUGGUUUUCCAGGCAAAUCCGGAAAAUCAAGGCUGAGGCGUGAUGACGAGGCACUACGGUGCUGAAGCGACAAAUGCCCUGCUUCCAGGAAAAGCCUCUAAGCAUCAGGUAACAUCAAAUCGUACCCCAAACCGACACAGGUGGUCAGGUAGAGAAUACCAAGGCGCUUGAGAGAACUCGGGUGAAGGAACUAGGCAAAAUGGUGCCGUAACUUCGGGAGAAGGCACGCUGAUAUGUAGGUGAAGCGACUUGCUCGUGGAGCUGAAAUCAGUCGAAGAUACCAGCUGGCUGCAACUGUUUAUUAAAAACACAGCACUGUGCAAACACGAAAGUGGACGUAUACGGUGUGACGCCUGCCCGGUGCCGGAAGGUUAAUUGAUGGGGUUAGCGGUAACGCGAAGCUCUUGAUCGAAGCCCCGGUAAACGGCGGCCGUAACUAUAACGGUCCUAAGGUAGCGAAAUUCCUUGUCGGGUAAGUUCCGACCUGCACGAAUGGCGUAAUGAUGGCCAGGCUGUCUCCACCCGAGACUCAGUGAAAUUGAACUCGCUGUGAAGAUGCAGUGUACCCGCGGCAAGACGGAAAGACCCCGUGAACCUUUACUAUAGCUUGACACUGAACAUUGAGCCUUGAUGUGUAGGAUAGGUGGGAGGCUUUGAAGUGUGGACGCCAGUCUGCAUGGAGCCGACCUUGAAAUACCACCCUUUAAUGUUUGAUGUUCUAACGUGGGCCCCUUACCGGGGUUGCGGACAGUGUCUGGUGGGUAGUUUGACUGGGGCGGUCUCCUCCUAAAGAGUAACGGAGGAGCACGAAGGUUGGCUAAUCCUGGUCGGACAUCAGGAGGUUAGUGCAAUGGCAUAAGCCAGCUUGACUGCGAGCGUGACGGCGCGAGCAGGUGCGAAAGCAGGUCAUAGUGAUCCGGUGGUUCUGAAUGGAAGGGCCAUCGCUCAACGGAUAAAAGGUACUCCGGGGAUAACAGGCUGAUACCGCCCAAGAGUUCAUAUCGACGGCGGUGUUUGGCACCUCGAUGUCGGCUCAUCACAUCCUGGGGCUGAAGUAGGUCCCAAGGGUAUGGCUGUUCGCCAUUUAAAGUGGUACGCGAGCUGGGUUUAGAACGUCGUGAGACAGUUCGGUCCCUAUCUGCCGUGGGCGCUGGAGAACUGAGGGGGGCUGCUCCUAGUACGAGAGGACCGGAGUGGACGCAUCACUGGUGUUCGGGUUGUCAUGCCAAUGGCACUGCCCGGUAGCUAAAUGCGGAAGAGAUAAGUGCUGAAAGCAUCUAAGCACGAAACUUGCCCCGAGAUGAGUUCUCCCUGACUCCUUGAGAGUCCUGAAGGAACGUUGAAGACGACGACGUUGAUAGGCCGGGUGUGUAAGCGCAGCGAUGCGUUGAGCUAACCGGUACUAAUGAACCGUGAGGCUUAACCUUACAACGCCGAAG